UUUUUACUGAUUUAAUUGUAAAUAAGGCCUGCUCAAUGAAAUUUUUUUUUUUAAAUAGCCGCGGAAAUUUAACUGUGCUAAGGUAGCAUAAUCAUUAGCCUCUUAAUUAGAGGCUUGUAUGAAAGGCAUAACAUUUCAAUUUCUUUAUUUUUAAUUUCUUUUUAACUUAAAUUAAGAAUAAAAAUGUUCUUAUAAAUAAAUUAGACGACAAGACCCUUUUGAACUUUACUUAUGUUUUGCUGGGGCAGCAUAAUAAUAAUUAUCUUACUAAUAAUUCUUUUCAUAAACGACCCAAUUUAUUUGAUUAUUUGAUCAAGUUACCAUAGGGAUAACAGCGUAAUAUUUUUUAAAAGUUCUUAUUUAAAUUAAAGAUUACGACCUCGAUGUUGAAUUAGUAUUUCUUACCUGGAGCAAUAACUUUAAAAGUAGGUCUGUUCGACCUUUAAAAUACUACAU
rnacentral:rRNA from 1 species